GUAACCUGCAGGGGAGGGGAAACAGAGCUGACCCAAACUGGAUAGAGGCCUGUGCUUGCAGAAGAUGUUCAGGCUGAGAUGAUGCUGGGAAGAUGGUCACGGUGUUGCAGGGUCAUCACUACGACAAUUCCCGUGGAGGUGGUCGGAGCAACUGAUGGCGGCUGCGGUUGGAGCGGUCUGCGAUGGCUCGCUGAUGGCUGUCAGAGUUGACAGUGGUGGUGCAGCAGCCGACGGCGGCGACGGCAACGCGGCGGCGCGGCAACGACUAGCAGCGGCAAGCGGCGGUACGGAAGGGCGGGGGCGGCGCGCGGCGCGGUGGUGCAAGCAGCAGAGAUGGCAGCGGCGGUGGGACAAGGGCGGGGGCGCAGAGAGCAGUGGAAGGCCGAGGGAAAUGGUGGUGGUGGGACAGUGUGGGAAGUGGUGGCGGGUACCAAAUAGCCGGUGACGUUUGGUGGAGCCGCAGCUGUUGCGACAGAGGGAAGAAACGGGGUGGCGCGGUGGUGCAAAGAGAAGAUGGUGUUGGCAGCGGUGACGGCGGGGAGCUGGCGUGGGGC
rnacentral:lncRNA from 1 species